rnacentral:rRNA from 1 species
GAUGAACGCUGGCGGCGUGCCUAAUACAUGCAAGUCGAGCGAACAGAUGAGGAGCUUGCUCCUCUGACGUUAGCGGCUGACGGGUGAGUAAAACGUGGAUAACCUACCUAUAUUACUUGGAUGAUUUCGGGAAACCGGAGCUAAUACCGGAUAAUAUAUUGAACCGCAUGGAUCAAUAGUGAAAGACGGAUUUUCUGUCUCUUAUAGAUUGAUCCGCGCCGCAUUAGCUAGUUGGUAAGGGAACGGCUUACCAAGGCAACGAUGCGUAGCCGACCUGAGAGGGUGAUCAGCCACACUGGAACUGAGACACGGUCCAGACUCCUACGGGAGGCAGCAGUAGGGAAUCUUCCGCAAUGGGCGAAAGCCUGACGGAGCAACGCCGCGUGAGUGAUGAAGGUCUUCGGAUCGUAAAACUCUGUUAUUAGGGAAGAACAAAUGUGUAAGUAACUAUGCACGUCUUGACGGUACCUAAUCAGAAAGCCACGGCUAACUACGUG